CUGGUGCUUUGGGCCACUGGACCACACAAUUUGUCUUACCUUUUACCAUAGUCAAGUUCAAAGACCAAGUACUACAGAUAUAUUCUAGGAGGAGUAAAGUUGAGAGUGAAAUAAUUUCCCUUUCCUCCUGACCCAUCUGCUGUUUAAACAACGAUUUAUCUAUCAAUUGCUGGCUUUCAUGACAUGUCCAAAUGUAGGCAACAGUGAUUCUGUUAUAGGAAAUGCUGUAAGUGAUUACUAUACAAUGGAUGGCUUUUGUCACAGCUGGACAUUCUACAAGAUCCUGGAGGGCAGAAUGGUACUGUGAAGGAGAAACCCAGAAGAAAGAAAACUACUGUGAAUAUCUCCUUGAGGAUGUUAAGAGGAACAAGAGUCAGCAAGCAGCAGGGAGCAGAAACAGAUCUCAAACACUAAGAACACAGAAAGAAAGACACCUUUAUAGGAGCAAAGAAGAAUCUACACAGAACUUUAAUGAUGUGAGAAACCAGUGGGAGUUGCUGGAAUGGAAAGGAUUGGUGGAAGAGCUGGGAUCUAGUGGACAGAUGCUAGAAGUAUUUGUGGAGAGUGAACAGUACAUUAUAGAGAAAGAGCAGCCGCUGUGA
ensembl:lncRNA